UUGGUAAUUGGUUUUUUUUUAAAUGGUUAACAUCGGUCCCUAAAAUAGGAGACACGUUAAAAAUGACAUCAGUCCCUAAAAAGGAGACUU